rnacentral:tRNA from 1 species
UCCCUGGUAAUCCAGUGGUUAGGACUCUGCACUUCUGAUGCAGGGGUACAAGUUUGAACCCUGGUCAGGGAA